CUACGGGUUGCAGCAGUAGGGAAUCUUCGGCAAUGGACGGAAGUCUGACCGAGCAACGCCGCGUGAGUGAAGAAGGUUUUCGGAUCGUAAAGCUCUGUUGUAAGAGAAGAACGAGUGUGAGAGUGGAAAGUUCACACUGUGACGGUAUCUUACCAGAAAGGGACGGCUAACUACGUGCCAGCAGCCGCGGUAAUACGUAGGUCCCGAGCGUUGUCCGGAUUUAUUGGGCGGAAAGCGAGCGCAGGCGGUUAGAUAAGUCUGAAGUUAAAGGCUGUGGCUUAACCAUAGUACGCUUUGGAAACUGUUUAACUUGAGUGCAGAAGGGGAGAGUGGAAUUCCAUGUGUAGCGGUGAAAUGCGUAGAUAUAUGGAGGAACACCGGUGGCGAAAGCGGCUCUCUGGUCUGUAACUGACGCUGAGGCUCGAAAGCGUGGGGAGCAAACAGGAUUAGAUACCCCAGUAGUC
rnacentral:rRNA from 1 species